rnacentral:rRNA from 1 species
GACGAAGCGUGCGAACGUUGUUCGGAAUUACUGGGCUUAAAGGGCGCGUAGGCGGGUCCGCAAGUUUGCGGUGAAAGCCCCCGGCUCAAUCGGGGAAGUGCCGCGGAUACUGGGGGCCUCGAGGGGGGUAGGGGCGUGUGGAACUUCCGGUGGAGCGGUGAAAUGCGUAGAUAUCGGAAGGAACGCCGGUGGCGAAAGCGACGCGCUGGACCCCGUCUGACGCUGAGGCGCGAAAGCCAGGGGAGCAAACGGG